rnacentral:rRNA from 1 species
GCCUAAAAUCUAGCUCAACAUUACUCUAACAACCCCUCUAACCUUUCCUCGUAAAACAAAACAUUCUAAUGUCUUAGUAAAGGAGAUUGAAAAAUCAACUGGAGCAAUAAUAAUAGUACCGCAAGGGAAAGAUGAAAUAAUAAUGAAAUAAUAUUAAGCGCAACAAAGUAGAGAUCCAACCUCGUACCUUUUGCAUCAUGGUCUAACUAGUCUAACCAAGCAAAAAGCUAUUGCAGUUUGACCCCCCGAAACUAAGCGAGCUACUUCAAGGCAGCUUUUUGAGCCAACCCGUCUCUGUUGCAAAAGAGUGGGACGACCUUCAAGUAGAGGUGACAGGCCUAACGAGCUUAGUGAUAGCUGGUUACUCAAGAAAGGGAUUUUAGUCCAGCCUAGAGUUUAACUUUUAAUUUAAAAUUCACCCUUAACUCCAGAGCAACUCAAAUAAGGUACAGCCUAUUUGAAACAGGAUACAACCUCAACUGACGGGUAAUAGACUUUUUAAUCAACUUAGUGGGCCUAAAAGCAGCCACCUUAAAAAGCGUCAAAGCUUUAUUGAUGAGCUAAAAUAAUUCCCAAACAUAUUUUUAACCCUCUAACCAUAUUGAGUAGUUCUAUAAUAAUAUAGAACCUAUAAUGUUAAAACUAGUAACAAGAAGCUAACCUUCUCUUUAAUGCAAGUAUAAAUCAGCAAGGAUCAACCACUGAUACUUAACGUCUAUGAACACUCAUUAGUAACCCCUAACAAGAAAACCCUAAUAUUCACCUCACGUUAAACUUACACAAGAGCAUUACAAGAAAGAUUAAAAGAAAAAGAAGGAACUCGGCAAACCUUAACCCCGCCUGUUUACCAAAAACAUCGCCUCUUGGAUGAACAUAAGAGGUCCAGCCUGCCCAGUGACCACAGUUCAACGGCCGCGGUAUCCUGACCGUGCGAAGGUAGCGUAAUCACUUGUUCUUUAAAUAAGGACUAGUAUGAACGGCAUCACGAGGGUUAUACUGUCUCCUUUUUCCAAUCAGUGAAACUAAUCUCCCCGUGAAGAAGCGGGGAUAAUUCUAUAAGACGAGAAGACCCUAUGGAGCUUUAAAUUUUAUUACAACUGCCCGAUUUAUUUGCUAGUCCUGACUUCAUCUAUCAAAUUCAGCAUUAUGAUAAUAAAUUUUAGGUUGGGGUGACCACGGAGCACAAAAAAACCUCCGCAUUGAACUAAGCUUAAAAGCUUUUAGCAAAGAACCACAACUCUAUGCAAUAACACAUUAACAUUCAUUGACCCAAUAUUUUGAUCAACGGACCAAGUUACCCUAGGGAUAACAGCGCAAUCUACUUUGAGAGCUCCUAUCGACAAGUGGGUUUACGACCUCGAUGUUGGAUCAGGGUAUCCCAGUGGUGCAGCCGCUACUAAUGGUUCGUUUGUUCAACGAUUAAAACCCU